rnacentral:rRNA from 1 species
CUCAGUUCGGACUGUAGGCUGCAACUCGCCUACACGAAGCUGGAAUCGCUAGUAAUCGCGGAUCAGCACGCCGCGGUGAAUACGUUCCCGGGCCUUGUACACACCGCCCGUCAAGCCAUGGAAGCCGGGAGUGCCUGAAGUGUGCAACCGCAAGGAGCGCCCUAAGGUAAAACUGGUGACUGGGGCUAAGUCGUAACAAGGUACC